UAAAUACUCCCUCCGUCCGAAAAUACUUGUCAUCACAAUUGAUAAAAAGAGAUGUAUCUAAAACUAAAAUACGUCUAGAUACAUUUCCUUUUAUCCAUUUUGAUGACAAGUAUUUCCGGACGGAGGGAGUAUUUA
rfam:Triticum aestivum genome assembly, contig: Triticum_aestivum_CS42_TGACv1_scaffold_644284_T_4BS-0.093701_5DS-0.071836